GCGGCCAUGGCGUAAUGGUAGCGUAAGGGACUGUGGAUCCCUAGGCGCGGGUUCGAUAUUUAAGGGCUGAUAGCCUUUAUGCGAAAGUCCCGCUGGCCGCC
rnacentral:tRNA from 1 species